rnacentral:lncRNA from 1 species
CAGCAUUUCCAGCUGCAGCUCUCAUGGUUCUUGAAGCCCUGUCUCAGUUCCAGGGAUACAGACAAGAAUUUACUCUUUAUCUCACUGUAACAUUUCAGUGCUUCUCCAAAGCCAACCCCACCAAAGUGUGGUUAAAACGAUAAUGAGAGAGCUCAGGAUCACAUUGCAAUCAACAGCAAAAGGAGUGUCGGGUUCAGUGAUACCAGGACAUGGUGCUGCUGGGAUUAUUUGGUUUGGGACAACAUAUCCUGUUCAUGUUUUUGUGAAA